rnacentral:lncRNA from 1 species
CUCACAUGCCACCUUGGAAGGCAGAGAAAGACAGAUAAUCAGAAGGGACAACAAGCGCCUUGACUUCUUUCCCUUUCCUCCUUAGGGAAGACAUUCUUCCAAGUAUCAAGAAAGGGAGCCCUUGCUUCCCUGGAAGAUAUAUUCUCCCAGCAAUCCUCCUCCAGUUCCAUGUGACCAUUCCUACUCUGAGCCAGUUUUGGAAAAGAAGGUAAGU